rnacentral:rRNA from 1 species
UACGUAGGCAGCAAGCGUUGUUCGGAGUUACUGGGCGUAAAGAGUGCGUAGGCGGUUUCGCAAGUUUGGUGUGAAAUCUCCCGGCUUAACUGGGAGGGUGCGCCGAAAACUGCGGGGCUGGAGUGUGGGAGAGGUAGGCGGAAUUCCUGGUGUAGCGGUGAAAUGCGUAGAUAUCAGGAGGAAUACCGGUGGCGAAAGCGACUCUCUGGACGGCAACUGACGCUGAGGCACGAAAGCGUGGGGAGCAAACAGG